rnacentral:rRNA from 1 species
ACGGCAGCACGGGUGCUUGCACCUGGUGGCGAGUGGCGAACGGGUGAGUAAUGUAUCGGAACGUAUCCGGAAGUGGGGGAUAGCCCGGCGAAAGCCGGAUUAAUACCGCAUAUGCCCUGAGGGGGAAAGUGGGGGACCGCAAGGCCUCAUGCUUUCGGAGUGGCCGAUAUCGGAUUAGCUAGUAGGUUAGGUAAAGGCUGACCUAGGCGACGAUCCGUAGCGGGUCUGAGAGGAUGAUCCGCCACACUGGGACUGAGACACGGCCCAGACUCCUACGGGAGGCAGCAGUGGGGAAUUUUGGACAAUGGGGGCAACCCUGAUCCAGCCAUGCCGCGUGAGUGAAGAAGGCCUUCGGGUUGUAAAGCUCUUUCGGACGGAAAGAAAUUGCCAUCUCUAACAUAGGUGGUGGAUGACGGUACCGUAAGAAGAAGCACCGGCUAACUACGUGCCAGCAGCCGCGGUAAUACGUAGGGUGCGAGCGUUAAUCGGAAUUACUGGGCGUAAAGCGUGCGCAGGCGGUUUUGUAAGACAGGCGUGAAAUCCCCGGGCUUAACCUGGGAACUGCGCUUGUGACUGCAAGGCUAGAGUGCGGCAGAGGGGGGUAGAAUUCCACGUGUAGCAGUGAAAUGCGUAGAGAUGUGGAGGAAUACCGAUGGCGAACGCAGCCCCCUGGGUCGACACUGACGCUCAUGCACGAAAGCGUGGGGAGCAAAC